rnacentral:rRNA from 1 species
AGAGUUUGAUCCUGGCUCAGGAUGAAUGCUGGCGGCAUGCCUAAUACAUGCAAGUCGAGCGGUAGCAUGGCUUCACCGUUUCCUUGACACACUUGGCCUUAUGCGAGUGGAAAGAUUCGAGGGAACCGUGAAGCUGAUGACGAGCGGCGGACGGCUGAGUAACGCGUGAGAACAUACCCCAAAGUGAGGGAUAACUAGUCGAAAGAUUAGCUAAUACCGCAUGUGAUCUUUGGAUUAAAGCAUUUAUGCGCUUUGGGAAUGGCUUGCGUACGAUUAGAUAGUUGGUGAGGUAAAGGCUCACCAAGUCGACGAUCGUUAGAUGGUUUGAGAGGAUGAUCAUCCAGACUGGGACUGAGACACGGCCCAGACUCCUACGGGAGGCAGCAGUAGGGAAUCUUUCACAAUGGGCGAAAGCCUGAUGGAGCAAUGCCGCGUGCAGGACGAAGGCCUUCGGGUUGUAAACUGCUUUUAUAAGCGAGAAAUAUGAUGGUAACUUAUGAAUAAGGAUCGGCUAACUACGUGCCAGCAGCCGCGGUCAUACGUAGGAUCCGAGCAUUAUCCGGAGUGACUGGGUGUAAAGAGUUGCGUAGGUGGCAAGGUAAGUAGAUAGUGAAAUCUGGUGGCUCAACCAUUCAGACUAUUAUCUAAACUAUCUAGCUCGAGACUGUUAUGGGUAACUGGAAUUUCUAGUGUAGGAGUGAAAUCCGUAGAUAUUAGAAGGAACACCGAUAGCGUAGGCAGGUUACUGGGACAGUUCUGACACUAAGGCACGAAAGCGUAGGGAGCAAACGGGAUUAGAUACCCCGGUAGUCUACGCCGUAAACGAUGGAUACUAGCAGUUUUGGGUAUCGACCCCCGGAGUUGCGAAGCUAACGCGUUAAGUAUCCCACCUGUGUAGUACGAUCGCAAGAUUAAAACAUAAAGGAAUUGACGGGGACCCGCACAAGCGGU